ACAAGAACAAUAACAAGCACUGCAAAAGACAAUAAAAAUAAGACGAAUCGGCUCACGCACAAUAAGAACAAGACGGCGGAGGCGCAGCUAACUGAUUCUUUUGGAGAGGAGUUGUAUUUGGGGCUUGCCCCACAACCAGGCAGAGAACAAUAAAAACUGCACUCAAGCAGGGCCUGAACUGGUUGGAUCGCAUGAUCAUUGCAACCUCAGCGACCAAAGCAAUCCGUUUGCUCUUGAUCCCGAUUAGGGAGACCGCCCACAAGCUUUUUUUGUGGGCAGGGCACUCAACAAAAACAAGAAGCCCGGCAAAAAAACAAUAAGAGCACGCAACUACUUCUUGGGGAGCUUCGGCUCCCCUUGUAGUUUCUGCCCGCCCCAGCCUGUCCGUGCG
rnacentral:sRNA from 1 species